UACGUAGGGUGCAAGCGUUGUCCGGAAUUAUUGGGCGUAAAGAGCUCGUAGGCGGUUUGUCGCGUCGAAUGUGAAACCCGGGGCUCAACCCCGGGCCGCAUUCGAUACGGGCAGACUAGAGUUCGGUAGGGGGAGUCUGGAAUUCCUGGUGUAGCGGUGAAAUGCGCAGAUAUCAGGAGGAACACCGAUGGCGAAGGCAGCCCCCUGGGAUAACACUGACGCUCAUGCACGAAAGCGUGGGGAGCAAACAGG
rnacentral:rRNA from 1 species